GGGAUUAUAGUUAAUUAUAACACUUGAUUUGCAUUCAAAAGGUAUUGUCUAAACAAUUUUUCUCA
rnacentral:tRNA from 1 species